GAAAUGAGGAGAUACAUUAAGAGGUGGAAGAUGAGAGAAGGUCUUUGGUUGCAAGAAAACACUUAUUUUUUUUCAAACUGCUUGUAAACUUCAAAGUCUCCUAGCACCAACCUACUACAAAUACCGGAAGUGGAUAUGACACUUAGAGUGUAUUCAAUUUCAGGAGAUGGGGAUUUCAAGAACAGACUCAUUCCUGGCUGCUAAAUACCUUAGUUAUAC